AUGACCCUGCUGGAGUCCAGGGGGGACCUCCAGCCCCCCGGGACCUCCUUGGCCCUCGUGUGCCGCGCCUCUGGAUUCAAUUUUGGGAGUCACUGGAUGGUCUGGUUCCGCCAGAGCCCCGGGAAGGCCCUGGAAUUUGUCGCAGGGAUCAAUCCCAGUGGUGGUUACACCGAGUACGUGCCGUCAGUGCAGGGUCGGUUCUCGAUCUCCAGGGACAACGGGCAGAGCUCGGUGACGCUGACCAUGAACAACCUCAAGGACGAGGAUUCCGCCGUUUAUUUCUGUGCCAAAGAUGCCAUCGAGAACCGGCCCUUGACCGACGACGCGUACCAGGUGCUGCCAUCAUUGGUGAUACACCCGACGUAUUCCAGCGCCUUCCCGGGGCUCUGGCGAACACAAUUCAUUCCAUAA